CGUAGGAGUUUAUCACCCAUUACUUCUAGUGUUGUUCCUUGCUGUUUUUAAGUGUUUUAAAGCUGUUUUGGAGUGUUUUGACAAAAAAAUCCGAAAAUCUUAUAAAAAUUUGAAAAAUUGUUUUGAAAAACCCAAAAAGAGUUGUUUUUGUGUGUUUAUUUGUGUCUUAGGGUACCUUCCAACACAAUGAUGAGGAUUUAGUUUUUAAUUACAUGACUAUUAAAAAGAGUUAUAAACAUGGAUAAAAAUUUGAUUUACUCUUUGGUGUAUGCUUGGUUGUGGUUAUAAUUUAUGAAUUGACAUGCAAUCAUAAAGAAAAAAAAAUCAGUUUUUGUAACAUGC
rnacentral:lncRNA from 1 species